rnacentral:tRNA from 1 species
GCUUUAAUAGUUUAAAAUAAAACGUUGGUCUUGUAAUCCUAUAAUAGAUACUAAUUCUUUAAAGCU